GCCCGCCUAGCUCAAUCGGCCAGAGCGUCAGACUUUUAAGGUGGGUGUUAAACUCGUCGGAGUAAUCUGAAGGCUGCGAGUUCGACCCUCGCGGUGGGCU